GGAUUGUGGCUCAGUGGUAGAGCAGUUGCCUAGGAGGUGUGAGGCACUGGGUUCGAUCCUCAGCACCA
rnacentral:tRNA from 1 species